CAGAGCGUGGUCUAGUGGUUAGGACUCCUCAUUUACAGGCACUGCGUGGACUGAGGCGAUCCCCGGUUCAAUCCCGGGCGUUCUGA
rnacentral:tRNA from 1 species